UCAUGCUGAUAAGGUUCUAAUUGCAUAAUGACAGGCUGUCCUUGUGCUGUAAUGUUGACUUAAUUUCAACCUGUUCUUGCAGCUCUAAGGUGAUAAUUUGCAGCACUGCAUCUAUGGCGGCUGAAGGCAUUGACUGAUGCAGCUUCAUCCUGUGCAGGUGUUCAAGCAGCAAAAACAAAUCUGAUCAAAGUGCAGCCACUGCUGGAUGAUUCCAGUCAAGUCGAUCUCCUUUAAUCCGGUGGUGACUAACCUCGAUGUCGGCGUCAUGAUUUUUGAGAAGAAAGCUUCAGACUAAGACCAAGACUUCAUUUAACAAGUGCUCAGGAUUUAUUUUUGUUACUUCAGAUACAGAUUUUAAAGUGAUUUUACCUGUAAGUGAUAUAAAAUGAACUAAAACACAAUAAAAAACUAAUUUG
rnacentral:lncRNA from 1 species